CAUCCUCCCACUGGGAAUAGUCACUCGGUCAACAACAUUUGUCAAGGACUCCUGAGGUAUUUACCCCAGAAAAGGACUUCGCAAGUUUCCAAAGUCUACGCUGUGCUCUGAGAAAUUUCAAUUUCCUUUUCAAACUCCAUAUGCAGACACUUCGCAACCACAGCAAUCGUAAGACUCAGAGGGGCUAGAGACCCCUUCAGCAAAAGCCAGCUUUCGCCUUUGUCCCCAUCACGAUCAGGACCCCGAUUCCCCAGCCGCCGCGGGAGCACCGACAACAGACGCAGCUCCGCGAACUGCAGCGCAGGGACUGAACUCCGGCCGCCAGGUUGAGCCCCGCCCGGCCCUUCCCUCCACGCCCGAUUGGCCAGCGCCCCGCCCCUGCACAUUCCGAUUGGUGAAAGGAGCCGCCGCUCCGUUGAGUGAUGUACCGUAGCCAGGUGCAACCCCGCCCACUACUCCCCACUGGGGCGGAUUGGCGCCUUUCCCAGCUCGAGCCGCCUCUGAUUGGCCCAGGAGACUGUCGUGUAAGGAGACGAAUUCCUCACCUUCGACAGGUGAGGGCCUCCGGAAUGGGCGGUGUUCCUGAAGCAGGGACUUUCUGACCGGCUGGGUUCUGAGUUGGAGCUGCAGGUCUAAAGGAGUGCCUUUAAGGAGGGGGCAGGGAAAGUAGUCGUGCUGUGGAACUUACCGAGACGGGCGUGGUUUGGGAUUCUUUUGUUUGUUGGAAUGUAAAUUGCUGUAGGAACGUUGGUCCUGUUCCUUGGCAGGUAAAAAACAUAUUAAUAUGGGAGGUUGGGAGGAGAGGACCGGGAGACAAGUGGAGUGAUAUCUUGACACCGCCUCCAAACCAUCUUCCUCUGUCCACCCCACUGGCGGUAUUCACAGGCUUUGAGAGAUGAGCUGCGCGGAGAGGAGGAAAAAGAACAGAAAGGAGAAGGGAGCGCUCAUCUCAAAAGUGGGAAAAGCAGAAUCUCGUCAUCUCAAGAACUUUACACAGAUGUACACAAAAUACACCCACAUAAUACUAACUGACCUACAGAUGCCCUAAAAACGUCUCUGGGUGUCUGUGGAUAUGUCCUUUACACAUGUUUGAUCUGUCAACAGGGCUCUACAUUUCAGAAUUGUUUAUCUUCUCACUGUGACUAAUAGUAGGGUGCUAAGCCUUCUUUUUCCUCUAGACUAUGUUGAUACCCAAGUUUUCUGUUUAUAUUGUUACAUCAUUUUUAAUUGAAACUCAUACUCAACACCUUUACUCUUUGUAGUUUCUAUUUUAUGAUGGCUUAAUUUUAACUGUACUAAAUAUAUCCUUGUUGCCUGUGGAAUAAACUUCCUGAACAUUAA